rnacentral:tRNA from 1 species
GCCUCGGUGGCGGAACAGGUAGACGCACAGGACUUAAAAUCCUGUGGUGAUUUUCACCGUGCCGGUUCGAUUCCGGCUCGAGGCACCA